rnacentral:lncRNA from 1 species
AUGAAUUGCCUCUGGCACCUGGCAACUGAAAUUUCACUAUCUGGAAACGUCCCCUUAUGUCAAACAAUGUGGCAAAUCUCAGAGUAUGAAUUACAAAUGCUGAGUCUUUUUCUUCUUUUUUUAAAGUGCAAGACAGGAGGAGGAGAUCUUCAUGGUGGGAAGAAAAACAGUUGACAAUUGGUUGGUUUAAAGGUCCAGUCCACUGCAGAGAGACCCACAUGGAGGGCAUUAAACCGAAGAUGGCGUUGAUAUGCAGAUGAUUCCUGGACUGAUUUAAGUAUCCAGUUUCAAGAAGACAAAGGUGCAAGACCUGGAAAACAAAAGGUGGAAAACGAAAUGUCCUCCCUGAGCUUCCAGCAGCUUCAGUAUAGCAGAACUUUGAAAGAGUGGAAAAAAUUUAAAAAGUAAAGGAAAAAAUCAUAUGUCUUGCUUGAAGUCUUGUUGAUGUCCAAAAAUAAUUAGGAAGGGGGGUGCCGUGGCUACAACAGCAAAGAUGCCAAUACCUAUGGAAAGUAAGAGAGUAAAAAAGAAAUAAAAAUGCUCCAUUGGUAUUAGAGGCCAUGCAUUGCAGUGGGAUUAGUAGUGGGAUUAGUAGUGGAACUGCAAAUCUUAAGGCAUAUCACAAGAAACCAAAAUACCUAGUAUUCAAAAUUUUAAUUGCUUGAAAAACAGGUAAAAAGGGAUGGAACUGGUCUAAUAGCAUUCUGUCAUAAUACACUUCUCCAACGUUUAAAUACAGAGGAAGCAAACUUUCAUGCCUCCCUGAAGAAUGUACCAAUGGCAAUAUUAGCAACAUUUACAGUUCAGAUAAUACCUUUACUUUCUUUCUCUCCCCUUAAAAAUGCCUUUAGACCUUAACUUAAUAAACUGGUUUACCUUCCAAGGAUGGAACUGUAACCUGCUUGGCCAGUGUGGGGACAUAAAUUACCUUUGCACUUGGUAAUAGAGUCAGCAUCAUGACAGGAACUCAGAGAUCACUCAGUCUGCAAUGGGUAAUAAGAAAGAGGGAAAUCAGAAGGGGGGGGGGGGGGAGCAUGAGCUCAUGCUCCAGCUAUUCACAAUCAAG